rnacentral:rRNA from 1 species
CCGGGGCUAAUACCGGAUAAUCCUUUUCCUCUCAUGAGGAAAAGCUGAAAGACGGUUUACGCUGUCACUUACAGAUGGGCCCGCGGCGCAUUAGCUAGUUGGUGAGGUAACGGCUCACCAAGGCGACGAUGCGUAGCCGACCUGAGAGGGUGAUCGGCCACACUGGGACUGAGACACGGCCCAGACUCCUACGGGAGGCAGCAGUAGGGAAUCUUCCGCAAUGGACGAAAGUCUGACGGAGCAACGCCGCGUGAGUGAUGAAGGUUUUCGGAUCGUAAAACUCUGUUGUUAGGGAAGAACAAGUACCGUUCGAAUAGGGCGGUACCUUGACGGUACCUAACCAGAAAGCCACGGCUAACUACGUGCCAGCAGCCGCGGUAAUACGUAGGUGGCAAGCGUUGUCCGGAAUUAUUGGGCGUAAAGCGCGCGCAGGCGGUUUCUUAAGUCUGAUGUGAAAGCCCCCGGCUCAACCGGGGAGGUCAUUGGAACUGGGACUUGAGUGCAGAAGAGAGAUGGAUUCCACGUGUACGGUGAAAUGCGUAGAGA